rnacentral:rRNA from 1 species
GGGGGGACGGAGAAGGCUAUGUUGGCCGGGCGACGGUUGUCCCGGUUUAAGCGUGUAGGCUGGUUUUCCAGGCAAAUCCGGAAAACCAAGGCUGAGGCGUGAUGACGAGGCACUACGGUGCUGAAGCAACAAAUGCCCUGCUUCCAGGAAAAGCCUCUAAGCAUCAGGUAACAUCAAAUCGUACCCCAAACCGACACAGGUGGUCAGGUAGAGAAUACCAAGGCGCUUGAGAGAACUCGGGUGAAGGAACUAGGCAAAAUGGUGCCGUAACUUCGGGAGAAGGCACGCUGAUAUGUAGGUGAAGCGACUAGCUCGUGGAGCUGAAAUCAGUCGAAGAUACCAGCUGGCUGCAACUGUUUAUUAAAAACACAGCACUGUGCAAACACGAAAGUGGACGUAUACGGUGUGACGCCUGCCCGGUGCCGGAAGGUUAAUUGAUGGGGUUAGCGGCAACGCGAAGCUCUUGAUCGAAGCCCCGGUAAACGGCGGCCGUAACUAUAACGGUCCUAAGGUAGCGAAAUUCCUUGUCGGGUAAGUUCCGACCUGCACGAAUGGCGUAAUGAUGGCCAGGCUGUCUCCACCCGAGACUCAGUGAAAUUGAACUCGCUGUGAAGAUGCAGUGUACCCGCGGCAAGACGGAAAGACCCCGUGAACCUUUACUAUAGCUUGACACUGAACAUUGAGCCUUGAUGUGUAGGAUAGGUGGGAGGCUUUGAAGUGUGGACGCCAGUCUGCAUGGAGCCGACCUUGAAAUACCACCCUUUAAUGUUUGAUGUUCUAACGUUGGCCCGUAAUCCGGGUUGCGGACAGUGUCUGGUGGGUAGUUUGACUGGGGCGGUCUCCUCCUAAAGAGUAACGGAGGAGCACGAAGGUUGGCUAAUCCUGGUCGGACAUCAGGAGGUUAGUGCAAUGGCAUAAGCCAGC